GAAGAUGCUGAAAGAGAAUGUGAUGUAGAGAUUACUUCUGCUGACACAGUGAGACUCUGCCAGCUUCCUUUCUUCUGGUUUCUGACAUUGCUCAUCCCUAAUGGAGACUCCAGCAAAAGCAAAGAUCAGCGAUGACUAAAUUGAACUUUAYAUUACACCACAUG